UGUAUGAAGGAAACAUACUGUAUGGCAUGUACAGGUAUCAGGACAUGGUGAUCACAAGAGCUCGGAGUUCAGGCGGGCCUUCGCGCUUCAGUGAAUAAAGGAACGAAGGGGUGCUCAACAACAAUGACAGACAUCAUGUGAAGGACUUACCAAGAAAAACUUCCAAACGGACUAGGUAGAGGUAGAAAGGAGUUGGGAGUACUCCACACAAACAGCCAAACAGACUAGGUAGAGGUAGAAAGGAGUUGGGAGUACUCCACACAAACAGCCAAACAGACUAGGUAGAGGUAGAAAGGAGUUGGGAGUACUCCACACAGACAGCCAAACAGACUAGGUAGAGGUAGAAAGGAGUUGGGAGUACUCCACACAAACAGCCAAACAGACUAGGUAGAAAGGAGUUGGGAGUACUCCACACAAACAGCCAAACAGACUAGGUAGAGGUUGAAAGGAGUUGGGAGUACUCCACACAAACAGCCAAACAGACUAGGUAGAGGUAGAAAGGAGUUGGGAGUACUCUACACAAACAGCCAAACAGACUAGGUAGAAAGGAGUUGGGAGUACUCCACACAAACAGCCAAACAGACUAGGUAGAGGUAGAAAGGAGUUGGAGUACUCCACACAAACGUCCAAACAGACUAGGUAGAGGUAGAAAGGAGUUGGGAGUACUCCACACAGACAGCCAAACAGACUAGGUAGAAAGGAGUUGGGAGUACUCCACACAAACAGCCAAACAGACUAGGUAGAGGUUGAAAGGAGUUGGGAGUACUCCACACAAACAGCCAAACAGACUAGGUAGAAAGGAGUUGGGAGUACUCCACACAAACAGCCAAACAGACUAGGUAGAGGUAGAAAGGAGUUGGGAGUACUCCACACAAACAGCCAAACAGACUAGGUAGAGGUUGAAAGGAGUUGGGAGUACUCCACACAAACAGCCAAACAGACUAGGUAGAGGUAGAAAGGAGUUGGGAGUACUCUACACAAACAGCCAAACAGACUAGGUAGAAAGGAGUUGGGAGUACUCCACACAAACAGCCAAACAGACUAGGUAGAGGUAGAAAGGAGUUGGAGUACUCCACACAAACGUCCAAACAGACUAGGUAGAGGUAGAAAGGAGUUGGAGCACUCCACAAAACACAGAGCAAAACACAUCAUUACAGACCUAAUAACUGGUUAUACACAGAGCAAAACACAUCAUUAUAGACCUAAUAACUGGUUAUACACAGAGCAAAACACAUCAUUAUAGACCUAAUAACUAUGGUUAUACACAGAGCAAAACACAUCAUUAUAGACCUAAUAACUCUGGUUAUACACAGAGCAAAACACAUCAUUAUAGACCUAAUAACUCUGGUUAUACACAGAGCAAAACACAUCAUUAUAGACCUAAUAACUCUGGUUAUGCACAGAGCAAAACACAUCAUUAUAGACCUAAUAACUCUGGUUAUACACAGAGCAAAACACAUCAUUAUAGACCUAAUAACUCUGGUUAUACACAGAGCAAAACACAUCAUUAUAGACCUAAUAACUGGUUAUACACAGAGCAAAACACAUCAUUACAGACCUAAUAACUGGUUAUACACAGAGCAAAACACAUCAUUAUAGACCUAAUAACUCUGGUUAUACACAGAGCAAAACACAUCAUUAUAGACCUAAUAACUCUGGUUAUACACAGAGCAAAACACAACAUUAUAGACCUAAUAACUGGUUAUACACAGAGCAAAACACAUCAUUAUAGACCUAAUAACUGGUUAUACACAGAGCAAAACACAUCAUUAUAGACCUAAUAACUGGUUAUACACAGAGCAAAACACAACAUUAUAGACCUAAUAACUGGUUAUACACAGAGCAAAACACAACAUUAUAGACCUAAUAACUGGUUAUACACAGAGCAAACACAUCAUUACAGACCUAAUAACUCUGGUUAUACACAGAGCAAAACACAUCAUUACAGACCUAAUAACUCUGGUUAUACACAUAGCAAAACACAACAUUAUAGACCUAAUAACUGGUUAUACACAGAGCAAAACACAACAUUAUAGACCUAAUAACUGGUUAUACACAGAGCAAAACACAACAUUAUAGACCUAAUAACUCUGGUUAUACACAUAGCAAAACACAACAUUAUAGACCUAAUAACUGGUUAUACACAGAGCAAAACACAACAUUAUAGACCUAAUAACUGGUUAUACACAGAGCAAAACACAACAUUAUAGACCUAAUAACUCUGGUUAUACACAGAGCAAAACACA